GUUGGAGCAAGAAUAUGUCAUGCUGUGGCCCUCCAGAGGGAAGCGCUUUCUGUUGUCUGAAAGAAAACAAAGCGCUCCCCUUUAGAGGUUUACGGUUUGAGGAAAGCAGCGUUGAAGUUG
rnacentral:pre_miRNA from 2 species